rnacentral:rRNA from 1 species
UACGUAGGGGGCAAGCGUUGUCCGGAUUUAUUGGGCGUAAAGAGCGCGUAGGCGGCCUUGCGCGUCGGAUGUGGAAGCUCGAGGCUUAACCUCGAGAGGCCAUUCGAUACGGGACGGCUAGAGGCAGCUAGGGGAGAGCGGAAUUCCUGGUGUAGCGGUGAAAUGCGCAGAUAUCAGGAGGAACACCGGUGGCGAAGGCGGCUCUCUGGGGCUGUUCUGACGCUGAGGCGCGAAAGCUGGGGGAGCGAACAGGAUUAGAUACCCGUGUAGU